rnacentral:rRNA from 1 species
UACGUAGGGUGCGAGCGUUGUCCGGAAUUAUUGGGCGUAAAGAGCUUGUAGGCGGUCUGUCGCGUCUGCUGUGAAAAUCCGGGGCUCAACCCCGGACUUGCAGUGGGUACGGGCAGACUAGAGUGUGGUAGGGGAGACUGGAAUUCCUGGUGUAGCGGUGAAAUGCGCAGAUAUCAGGAGGAACACCGAUGGCGAAGGCAGGCCUCUGGGCCAUAACUGACGCUGAGAAGCGAAAGCAUGGGGAGCGAACAGG